UACAGAGGUCUCAAGCGUUGUUCGGAUUCAUUGGGCGUAAAGGGCGCGUAGGCGGGCACGUAAGUCAGGGGUGAAAGCCCACGGCUCAACCGUGGAAGGGCCUUUGAUACUGCGUGUCUGGAGGGAGGUAGGGGCGUGCGGAACUUCCGGUGGAGCGGUGAAAUGCGUAGAUAUCGGAAGGAACACCGGUGGCGAAAGCGGCGCGCUGGACCUCUUCUGACGCUGAGGCGCGAAAGCCAGGGGAGCAAACGGG
rnacentral:rRNA from 1 species